CUGGCUUCUCCGUCAUCCUCCCAGGGGUCUGAUCCUGCAGGACCUGACCUUCGUCCACCUCGGCAACCCUGACUAUGUGGACGGCAAGGUGAACUUCUCCAAGCGCUGGCAGCAGUUCAACAUCCUGGACAGCAUGCGGUGCUUCCAGCAGGCGCACUAUGACAUCCGCAGGGACGACGACAUCAUCAGCUUCUUCAACGACUUCAGCGACCACCUGGCCGAGGAGGCCCUGUGGGAGCUCUCUCUGAAAAUCAAGCCCCGGAACGUGACCCGGAGGAAGACAGACCGGGAGGAGAAGACCUAGGAGCGGCUCACGCCGGACCUGACCGCGCGAGAGGCCCGGAGAGAACCCAGGGCACAGGGAGCGGAGCGCAGGGGCCCAGGAUGACUGGUGAACCGGGCCUGGCUCAGUUUUCCGCUUUCACCUCCACGUCCUGCCCGCCCCUCCCGCUCUCGGUGGAGGUGGCUUGGUGGCAGGGCUGGCGGGGGCACCUGCUCCUCCGCCCUAGGGUGGGUGCACGUUUCGCCGGAGUCCUGACAGGUGGCCCUGGGGCUGGCUGCGCCUGUCGCGCUGUGCACACCCCGGGCUCCAUCGCUGGCUGCACCACGCAGAGCCUGCCCCUGCCACCCGUGUCCUCCGCUCUGGGGGCAGGGACGAGGAGGUGGCGGGAGGACUUGGCCACCAGAGUCACCGCGGAACUGGGCCAGCACAGCCCCCGGACGGCCACCCCUCUGCUGUGCUCGCCGUGUGCCUUAAAUGCCGUCUCCUCCCUUCCUGGUCCCCAGCAUCCAGGUGGCCGGCAGGUCCCUCCAACGGAGGAGCCACCUGGGAGCCUGGCUACGGUGGGGACACCGAGGGCCCGGCAGAAGCACCCACCCUCCCCGCCGAGGCUGACCCUAUCCACCUGGCUCUGUGGCCUCCAACCUGGGCCAGCGGGCAGUCAGGGUCCAGAGGUGCCAGCGGCCCCGCCCUAGGCCUGACCCGUUGUGCUUCCAGUGCAGGGUCAGGAGCGCCAGGACCCGCCUGUGCUUCCCGGAGCAGCGCAGCGGAAGGAGGGGAGGGUGGGGUGGACAGCGGUGUCUACCCGCAGGUGCGGAGGGUGCCACAAGGCAGAGCCGGGUGCUCUCACCCCGGAAAUGGGCUGUUUCCGCUCCCUCUCGUGCUGUUCGUCCUGUAAAUAGGGGAGCUGUGUGACUGUCCCCGAACCUGUCACUUUAUUAUUUAAGGAGUGUGCGUGUGCAGUUGGGUUUGUUGGCAGUAUUGUGUAGGUUGGGCUUUAGUCUGCCCUCUCCUGGAAGUCCUCCAUUUCAUCCCUGCCUGCUGCAGCCAUCACCCUUGUCCGGCUCGGCCAGCGCCACCCUGCACACAUGGGGGCACCUGCCCGCCAUGCCCGGCGGACACGGGUGCUGUGCGGCAGGGUGGCCGCAGCAGAGCCGGUGCUGGAGGAUGCAGACGGGCAGCGUCCCUCAGUGACCGCGCAAGAGGCCAGUGUGGGUGACGUGUGUGUAACUUAUUGGCCGACGGGCCGUCCCUGGGAGCCGGGAGAGUCCGGGGUGUCCGGUCCCCUGAGGACGCUCAGGCCUCCCUGCAGGUGCCGUGGAGCGGGGCCGGCACAUGCCGCAGGCCCUGUCCGAACCCCGACCUGAUGCCCCAGCUCACGGUUCUGCGGCUGCCCUGUGACCUCCUGGCGUCACGGUGUCACCGACCCCACUGAUGGUCCCACCGUGGCAUCUUCCUGCAGUCCUUUCAAAUGUGUCAUUUUUAUAUGAAAGAAAAAUAAACACAUGACCGCCG